rnacentral:rRNA from 1 species
GACUGUGCUAAGGUAGCAUAAUCAUUUGGUCUUUAAUUGGGAUCUAGUAUGAAAGGAUUUACUAGGGAGGUUCUGUCUCACCAUUUAAUGUUUUUAACUUACUUAAAAGGUGAAAAUUCCUUUGAUUAACCAAAAGACGAGAAGACCCUUAGACUUUUAGAUACAUUUAAAUUGAUUAUUUAAUUUCUCUUUUGUUGGGGCGACACAGUAAUUCAAUACUUUAACAUACUGAAAUCUUAGUAUAUAUAAAUCUAAUCUCUUUUAAUAAUAAAUAAAGUACCUGAGGGAUAACAGCAUUAUUAAAUUUUAUUAGAUUGUGACCUCGAUGUUGGACUAGGA